AGAGUUUGAUCCUGGCUCAGAAUGAACGCUGGCGGCGUGCCUAACACAUGCAAGUCGGAUGUGCCGCAAGGUGCAUGGCAGACGGGUGAGUAACGCGUAGGGAAUCUACCUUUUUGUGGGGAAUAACGCUCCGAAAGGAGUGGUAAUACCGCAUGAGACCGCAGACUGGGAUGUUUGUGGUGAAACCUGGGGACCGCAAGGCCUGGGGCAAGAAGAGGAUCCUGCGUCUGAUUAGCUAGUUGGCGGGGUAAUGGCCCACCAAGGCGACGAUCAGUAGCCGGCCUGAGAGGGUGAUCGGCCACACUGGAACUGAGACACGGUCCAGACUCCUACGGGAGGCAGCAGAGGGGAAUUUUGCGCAAUGGACGAGAGUCUGACGCAGCAACGCCGCGUGGGUGAUGAAGGUCUUCGGACUGUAAAACCCUGUCGUCAGGGACGAAGGUAUGGGAGUUAAUAGCUCUUA
rnacentral:rRNA from 1 species